ensembl:snRNA U6 U6 spliceosomal RNA
AUACUUGCUUCAGCAGGACAUAUACUAAAAUUGGAAUGAUAGAGAGAAGAUGAACAUAGCCCCUGCACAAGGAUAACAUGAAAGUUCAUGAAGCAUUUUAUAUAAAU